rnacentral:rRNA from 1 species
AGUGAACGCUGGCGGUAGGCCUAACACAUGCAAGUCGAACGGCAGCACAGUAAGAGCUUGCUCUUACGGGUGGCGAGUGGCGGACGGGUGAGGAAUACAUCGGAAUCUACUUUUUCGUGGGGGAUAACGUAGGGAAACUUCCGCUACUACCGCAUACGACCUACGGGUGAAAGCAGGGGAUCUUCGGACCUUGCGCGAUUGAAUGAGCCGAUGUCGGAUUAGCUAGUUGGCGGGGUAAAGGCCCACCAAGGCGACGAUCCGUAGCUGGUCUGAGAGGAUGAUCAGCCACACUGGAACUGAGACACGGUCCAGACUCCUACGGGAGGCAGCAGUGGGGAAUAUUGGACAAUGGGCGCAAGCCUGAUCCAGCCAUACCGCGUGGGUGAAGAAGGCCUUCGGGUUGUAAAGCCCUUUUGUUGGGAAAGAAAAGCAGCAGGUUAAUACCCCGCUGUUCUGACGGUACCCAAAGAAUAAGCACCGGCUAACUUCGUG